UGGUGGAGUGAUUUGUCUGGUUAAUUCCGUUAACGAACGAGACCUCAGCCUGCUAAAUAGUCGAGAGAACACUUGUGUUCUCUUCGGCUUCUUAGAGGGACUGUCGGUUCCAGCCGACUGAAGUUUGAGGCAAUAACA
rnacentral:rRNA from 1 species